CAGAGCAAUCCCAACACUUUGCUUGGCUUGUUUUUCUUGGCACCGAGGUUACAGUUUUUGACACCAGGGGAUUUGAGUGAGGCAGGAAAACGUGGUGAAUUUUCACAUCAGAUUUACAGGGCUGGAAGCCAAAACUUAAGCUCUCAAGCAGGACUCUUGCAAAUCACCUACUGUAGAUGAAAUAGGAGGUUCCCACAAAACCACAGGAGAGCAAGAUCAGUCUGUAUGGCAAUGACUUCCAGUUCUCUACAAGGACACUGAAGCUCUUCUAUGAAAAUAUUGAUGAGAAGAUGAAGGCCCCCAAAGAAAUCACCUCUUCAAGUUGUCCAGGGCUUGAGACUGGAGAGCAACCAAUCACUGUCUGGCUGUUUCCUCUGCACUGAGGCUGUCACUGCAGCGUUCUGUUUAACUGCUGGAUUUGUAUUUUCUUCAUGUAUCCAAUUGCUUGCAGAUGAGUGGAAUGCUUUAAGUAUAUCAAGUAAAUAAAUCAAAU